UAAAGCUCUGUCCUCAAGGAAGAAUAAAUGACGGUACUUGAGGAGGAAGCCCCGGCUAACUACGUGCCAGCAGCCGCGGUAAUACGUAGGGGGCAAGCGUUAUCCGGAAUCACUGGGCGUAAAGGGUGCGUAGGCGGUUUUCUAAGUCAGAAGUGAAAGGCUAUGGCUCAACCAUAGUAAGCUUUGUAAACUGUUAAACUUGAGUGCAGGAGAGGAAGUGGAAUUCCUAGUGUAGAGGUGAAAUUACGUAGAUAUUAGGAGGAACACCAGUGGCGAAGGCGACUUCUGGACUGUAACUGACGCUGAGGCACGAAAGCGUGGGGAGCGAACAGGAUUAGAUACCCCUGGUAG
rnacentral:rRNA from 1 species